rnacentral:tRNA from 1 species
GAGGGUGUAGCUCAGCGGUAGAACACGUGCUUAGCAUGCAUGAGGUCCUGGGCUCGAUCCCCAGUACCUCCA